UACUAACUUUGGAUCUGGCCAAUGGAAUAUAAGGAGAUUUGACCUGUGCUGCUGUGAUUAACAGACAUCAGAGGCAUGGUACCAUGAGGACAGAGACCUCAACUGUGUGUUCAUCAUUAAGUCUCCAGAAUUCAGCAAAAUAUAUGGCACAUAGAAGGAAGAAAAACAACAGUAACUAGAUGAAGCAAGGACCACCCUUCUGGACAACAAAGGGAGAGGAAUGAAAGUCUGACCUA
rnacentral:lncRNA from 1 species